UACGGGGGGGGGCAAGCGUUGUUCGGAAUUACUGGGCGUAAAGGGCUCGUAGGUGGCCAACUAAGUCAGAUGUGAAAUCCCUCAGCUUAACUGGGGAACUGCGUCUGAUACUGGAUGGCUUGAGUUUGGGAGAGGGAUGCGGAAUUCCAGGUGUAGCGGUGAAAUGCGUAGAUAUCUGGAGGAACACCGGUGGCGAAGGCGGCAUCCUGGACCAACACUGACACUGAGGAGCGAAAGCCAGGGGAGCAAACGGG
rnacentral:rRNA from 1 species